AUCUCUAUUGUCUCACUCAAGUCUUGAUUUUUCUACUGAAAAUCCACAAGAGAGGAAAAACCCUCGACUGAACCCUCGACCUCGACGGCUCGAUUCUUCUCCAGCAGCAAGAGAAGAAACUUUCUCAUCUGCUACUACUUCGAUCCUUCUCCAACACAAGUUAAGUUCUUCGUCGUCGUCUUCUUCUCUGCUUCUCUUUCUCCUUCUUCUUCGUCUUCUUCGUCUUCUUCUCUGCUUCUCUUUCUCCUUCUUCUUCUUCAGUUCGUCGUCUUCUUCUUCUCUGCGACAUGACUGAUCACUGACGAAAACAACUCCUUCUCGGCUUCUCCUUCUUCUCUUCUUCUUCUUCUUCUGUUUCUGCUGCUCUUUCUUCUUCUCUUUCUUCUCUGUUUCAGCGGGGCAGUAGUUGUAAUAAUUCUAUUUUUUAGUUGCAGUACCUAGUUGGAUGAUAUGCGAUUCUGUGUUCGGUUUCACAGGUUGAAAAUUUUCCAGUGGUGUAAGGCAUUGUUACUUUUUGGUCAAUUGUCAUCACUCUGUUAAAUGAUCACAGAUUAUGUGCUACUGGAAGUAUUCCCAACCAAAGAAAAUGAAAGGAUUGUAGUUAAAAACACAUCUCUUGGUCCUCAGGACAUUUGUGUGUGCAUGUAGGAAUUCCCUGAAAGAUAUCAAUUUGCUAGUAGCAUUCAACAAAGGCAUAGACAGAUCGAGAAAGCGGUUCCACUUUUGCAUUUGCACUUGGGAGGAAACUCAAGGAAGUUCUGAAGCAAAAGAAAUCAUAGCGAGUAUUUUCAUUAAACCUGCUUAUUUUAGUUGCAGCUUGGCACUGGGCAAAUUAUCUUGCUGGCUUUUGUAGAUCUUAUGUAUCUGUAAAUUAAUAUGAUUUGUGUAGUUGAUGUGAUUCUAUUCAGCCUUUUGUGUCAUAAUUGAAUGUUUACUAUCCA